UUCCGGGUGUUACAGGAGUUAUGAGACACCCUGUAUAUCAUUUUGAUUACUGUUUUUCCUAUAUCACAUCUGAUUUAAAUUUUGACAGGUUUAGAACGGUGCUCAAUAGAUCGGUAUUCAAUGGCUCGGUGUUCCUCGGUAUCAUUAGUUAAUGCUCCAGCAGCACUUCCUUGGGAAAUCGGACAUACACUACACAGUGAAUCUCCGCCAACGUGAGUUAGGGAUGCCGCCACGCAAACGGAGGACUUGGGAUCUCCAACGCAUGCUAGUUAGUACAGCGUGGCGGCAGAAUGGCAUCCGCUAGUUCACCGUCUCCAAAUUCAGCGAUCACCUCGAUGUCAGUCUUUCCGUGACAAUUCAUUUUCAAUGGCAGCGGAAUUGCCGUUUUAUGUUGAAACGAUGCAGUUGGAAGAAAUAGAAAAUGGAUGUAAUCGUCGACUAUACUUGGAGAGCACGCACUUCAAAAGUGUACCCGACCUGAUUCGGGACGUGAAACUUAAUUGACAUAUAAUCGCGAACGUUUACGUGUUAUCGAAGGUAAAUUGUACUAGAUUCACUGCAGAAGCUUUGGCAAUUAAGAACCGAGUUUUCGAAAGAAUAUUAAUAUUUUAUAUUAAUCAAGAUUAUAAGAUUUUGUAUUAUAGGUUAAUAAUAUUUAACCGAAAAUGAUAACGCAUACUAUGUUGAAACUAAGAAAUAAGAUUAAGAAGACAGAUUUUCGUGAUUCGAAUUGAAAAUUUAAACACCAAUGCAUUGCAUUCAAUCGUCGAAUAAAGUAAUAAACAGAGUAAUUAUGUAAAACUUAUUAAGUUUUAACAUUUUUCCAUCACUUCAGAAUAAUUGCAAAGUAGAGAAUUUUUGAUAUUAUUGAAUAUUAACAUCGUCAUUAUCUCGACGAUCACAUCGUUGGAACAUGUACAUUUAUCACUCGUCACACGUACAUACUUAUUUAUAAUAACCGCACAAACUACGGAUAUAAAAUAGUAUUUAAGCAGUUAUCGGACGUACAAUAUUUUUUAAAUCGUUCCUUUUCUAAAGGUAAACUUUCAACAAUAGGUUGUAGCGAUUGUUCUACAAUUUGUUGUUUAAAAUUUUUAUAUUUAUUUGUUAUACAUGAAUUGUAGGUAAAAAUUAAUUUAGAGUCGUAGCUCAGGAGCCAACAGAAUUGAAACUGAUUGUGAGAAGCUUUGGACGAUCUUUGUCUUUCGUGCAUAGAGAAACAAGGACAAACCGAUAUUCAAGCAGUCAUGUUGAUAUCAAAACAGUGGCGGACUAAGCAGCCGUGUAGGGCCCCGAAGCGGCCCUGAGGUCUCAUAAUGUCUUUUCAUUAGGGUUCGAGGAAAAUUACGGGUUUUUUUUUGGUUGUCCAAAUAUCAUAAUAAUAACAGAGCUUCACCAAAGACUCUGUUAUUACACAUAAUAUUAUAGUCAACAUAACGAUAUACAUAUGUAUACACACCAAUUUUUGAUUACUUUUCCUUCUUGUUGAUAACUUAAUGUGAGUUUUCUUUAAACUUUUUUUUUCCAACUUGAGUUUGAAGGUCCAGAAAUUUGAACCACAGUAUCUUGGGAUUGGGGAGCCUCCGCUUGACUUGAUCCGCCACUCUGUAAAGAUGGUUCAAUUUUGCAAUUUUCUUUUUUAAAAUAGUCUGUAUAAUUAUACAGAGGUAUACAGAGCCUAACUUUCCAUUUUGACUUUUAAAGGGGAUCGUACAGAGUAACGGAUCGAAAAUAUGGGUAUUUUUGAGAAUUUUUAAAAACAUAAUAAUAUAACAUACAAUUUUUCUGUUUUAUGAUACAUAAAUUAGCUGUAUUGGAGAAAAUAUGAAAAAUGUUUUUAAUAGUUUUGGUAAUGUUCUGGCUGAUAUACACAAUUUUGAAACGACCGUCUCUAAAAGAACGUUGUCGUGGCGUUAACAACAAAUUGGUCUUGCACUUUGUUUGACACACAAAAUAAUCAAAAUAUUUUAGAAACUACAUAUGAUUGGCUAUUACAGCAUGUAAAGAAAUUAACAAAUGUUGAAAAAUAACAAAAUAGCGAACAUAUGUAAAAAUAUUUUGAAAUUUUAUUAAUUGUUCGUAUGAUAAAAGUAAAGAAAAAUUAAAUCAUUUUUAUCAAUCAAAAAACGGAUACGGCUUUUUACAAAAUGCAAUCUUGAGGACGACAAUUGGAUUUGUUAGAUUUUUUAUUUGCUGUCAACGUGAUUGAAAAAUGUCAUUUCGAGAAAAAGCACUUAAAAUUUGAUUAUCAGAUUACUUAAUUUGCCGAAUUUAGUCUUAAAGCUGUAUAGGCAUAUUCUUGGGAUGUAUAUCUAUGUGAAAAAACUGCUUUUUCUGACCCCUUAGUGCAGGGCUUCGAAUUAACUGCUCUUUUCGACCAGUUUUCAGAGGCUACGCCCCUUUCUUCCCGCCCCUCGCGAGGGCCGUAGUCCUCGAGGCAGCUCAGGCGCGUGCCGCAUUCGUAUGGCUACACUCGUAUUAAUAGGUUUCCACAUCACUUAUGGGGUACGAUUCAUACGGCACGCGUCUGAGGUGCCUUGAAAACUACGGCCCUCGCGCGGGUCACGGCGAACGGCGGGAGGAAAGGGGUGUUGCCUCUGAAAACUGGCCGAAAAAGCAGAUAAUUAGUGUGUACGACCCCCUUAAAACUUUAUAAAAAGUACCUUUUUAUAGACACAAAUUUUUUUACAAUUUUUCCCCAAAACGCUUUACUUUACAUAUAAUCGUUUAAUUUUGUAUCUUUAUUUAAGAUUUAUUUGGAUUAACAGUGUUAUAAUUGUAUAAGCAUUCGAUUUGUUCAUAAUACAGUAACUAAUAUUGACAUAGAACGUAAAGUUGGUACUAAUAACCUCUCCAUAAUGUAAACGAAAAGUGUGUAUAGAAUAUUUGUUAAUACAGUGGACUCUCGUUAUAUUGUCACCAAUGAGUCCAUAGAAGCGGAAAAGUGAAGCUUCCAAACUCUGAUUUGAAGGGUGGAGGGUAGAUAAAAAUGUAUCAUUUUCAUAGACUAUGAUGGUGGAAGGAUGACACUGGUACGUGGCAAUAUAACGAGAGUUUACUGUAAUCUCAAUGCACUCAAUGAGUGAAUAUGUUAAGGGGGUAGACACGAGUAAUGCAGCGAUGUGACAUUACUGGCAAAAAUGGGCCUAAAAAGGGGUUUACGGGAAUACACUUUUCGUCCUUAUAUGAAGAGAUUUAGGGCUGGGUGAGGGCUCAUUCGAAAGAGGAAGGUCCAAUGCAGAGCGGUCUGGUCAUGGUUCAACGAGAUUGUGUUGAUACCUAAUAAUAUGAGUGUCCAAAGUAGAGUAAAAAUCGACAAAAUACAUUCGCAGAAUCCAAGGUAUUUUUAGGUUACUAAAAGAGUUUUGUGACUCAAACGGUGACCAGAGCGCCCUGCAUUGAACCUUCCUCUUUCGAAUGAACCCCUAUUUACAUCAAAAUCUUCUCAUAUAAGGACGAAAAGUGUAUUCCCGUGAAAGCAUUCCCACAGAUCAGUUCCGCCAUUUUGUGGAUAAUACAGAGCAAGUCGCGUGACAAAUUUAGUUCAGUUAGUAGUUAAAAGGUAGCGUCGAACUAAAAAGGCUGCCGAUUAGGAAUCGUCGCCAGAAUCAGGCGUUAGCUUGGUUACGUCACUCGAACUGUGUCUGCGAAGGCAAGCGGAAAAGGGAACAACGUCCGAACGCUGAGUGAUACGCACUACAGUCAUACUGCCCUUCCCUCAUUCUGAAUGUUCAGAUUGUCCUUUCUCGCUAAGUUUUGACUGACGCCCGUCUGGAUUUUUCACAACGCCCCAUAAGAAACCUCGCUCAAAGAGGAGGUAUAACGAGAGAAGAAUAUACCUCCUCUUUGCAAUAAUUCUGCAAAUGUUUACAUAAAUUGUGUGUGAGGUAUUCAUUUAUUUAAAUUAUUUGCAUUCACUCAGAAUAUUGACUAACACUCCUUUGUAUUUUUUAUUAGUUUCGAAAAACAAAGUUGUUAUAGGUCUCUGAAAAUAUAAACGUCACGCAAUUGAGACAAGUUAUAUCUUAAAUUUGGUAAGAGAUAGGAAAAAGCUAUUAAUAACAGUUGAAAGGUAUGACUUAUGAAAAAUAUGAAAUAUCUCAAGAAAUAUUAGUUUUUUAAACAUUGUACUGUUAGACAUAGGCGCGUUAGCGAAAUAGAAGAGAGGGAAUAGUAGAGAGGGGAGAGAAGGAAAUAUAGACGCGAGCACGGCGGAACGAAGCGAUUUUAGUUAUGUUAAUUAUGUUAUCGCGAGUGAGUUAUGAUUGUAUAUUUUUGUGUUUUUUGGGAGAAAUAAAAGGUCUUGUGUUAAAGAACUUGAAUUCUGAUCUCGGGAGACGAGGCCCCUCCGUUUAUUCUCCGUAUAUCGUUCUAAUAGUACCAUAGAAUUUUUUUAUGCAGAAUGUUCCAAGGAGUUGAUACGAGUAAAAAAGAUGUGCAAUUCUAUUUAAAUAAAAAGUGCAUCUGCAUUGUUUUAGUGCAUCGUUGCAUUCACGAAGAAAAUGAAGUCAUAGAAAAAUAGACUUUUACAUGAUCAGCUUUUUCCUAUCUCUUACCAAAUUCAAGAUAUAUGUAACAUGUAACCCGCCCCAAUUGCGUGACGCACCCUGUAUGCUUUUAUCAAUUAAAAAACAUUUAUUUAAA